GCGCCGCUAGCUCAACUGGUUAGAGCAACAGACUCUUAAUCUGUAGGUUCUGGGUUCGAGUCCCAGGCGGCGUACCA
rnacentral:tRNA from 4 species